UUCUCACCCAGGAGCAGAGAUCAUACUCUGUAAAAGAAGAAAACAAAUAGUAGGGUGUCAAGGUUUUGAAUAACAUUGUCUGGGUGGUUUUGGUGAAGGAACACACACCCACACCGCCCCCAAAGGGCUCAUCUGCUGCCUGCUAGCAGCUGAGUGGGGAGGUGGCUUUGUGCCGAAAUAAGCCUGCAGCAGUGAGGGCUGUGCAUGAAGGCAAGGCAAAGGGGCACCAGGACUUGCAGAUUUAUUACAAAAAGACAUCUCCUAUGUGCUUGAUAGCUGCUUUGCAUAUUAUGCUAUUGAAAGUCGGAACUGAUGAAGAGAAGUAAUAAGAAGCUGAAUGUAUCACCGUGAGGGAGCCCAGGAGCUCUCCUGUACACCAGGCUGGCUGAAAGAUGCAUGCAAAUUGAGAUGAAAUAAUGUGAUUUGUACGUAAAUGCUGACGUUCUCCGGAGGGCUGGAGGAAAUAUUGUACAGGAUUAUAAAGGCAACGAUGCAAAAAGGCCAAACACCAGUCCCUGCAAAACCGGGGCGGGUUUCCAUCCAGCGAUACAAUUAGGGAAAACAUCCACAGCUCUGAAAAUCUGCGAUUCCAGAGAUGUUGUGCUCUCCAGGAUAACGUGGGACCCAGCCGGGGGCCCUUAGGUGCUCCCCGUGCCAGGUGGGGCUGUCGGGGCAGGGGGCUUGUGGGCUGCACACAGGGGGGUGCUGCUGGCACCUGCCUGCCCUGCAGCGGCCAGGCCUUGGGAGGUCAGGGGGGUACAGUGGGUGUCAGGUUUGUGUCAAUGCCCAACCCUCUUUUUCCCUGCUCAAAACAGGCUGGAAAAUUUUCCAUCAGAAGUUUUGGCUUAAAAAUCCUCCUCUGCAACAUGGAGGCACGCUAUUUUGGGUUUUACGUGCGUUCUGGCAAGAGCUUCUCCAAUAAACGACAAACAAACCCCACCACUUAAGGCACGAAAGAAAUUCCUGUUUAAUUAGAGAAGCUUUUGGGGAUUCUAAUUGCUCAGCUGUCCAAGUGCCUUAAGUCAUUUGCAG